UAUUUUUAAUUCAAAACAGAAAGAACGAAAGCAAUAUGUAUUUUCAUUUCUUUUUCUUAGACCACUAACUAAACUGUCAGCUUCCUGAGGGGAGAGACCAUUUCUACCUUGGAUAUCCAGCAUUUACAACUCUGCCUUCAAAUAGAUAUGUACUGUGAUCACUUUAGCAGGACUGUUUCCUGUGUUACACAGCAGCCUCUCCACCUUUGCUGUGCUUUCUCAGAUUAUGUGGAAGCAGAUGAGGCUUUAGUAAGAGGAAGCAUUUGAAUUGCAUCUAUUCCACGGCUACAGGAGCUCUCAGUUACAGGUGGCAAGGUUUUGCAAUCCUCAUUUUGAAUAAAAGUCAUUUCUCUAGUAUGUCCCCUGCCCUCUCUCUAGCUUUUUUUUUUUCUUUUUCUUUCUGACAGGGGAUAAGAGGAAAAGAGAUAUACUAACGAUGAAUAAGGUUUUGUUAUUAAGUAAUUUACAUUCCAAGUUAUACUUCUGUUAGAAACAAAUGUUUU
rnacentral:lncRNA from 1 species